UACAGAGGUCUCAAGCGUUGUUCGGAUUCAUUGGGCGUAAAGGGUGCGUAGGUGGCGGGGUAAGUCAGGUGUGAAAUCUCGGGGCUCAACCCCGAAACUGCACUUGAUACUGCCUUGCUCGAGUACUGGAGAGGAGAUUGGAAUUUACGGUGUAGCAGUGAAAUGCGUAGAUAUCGUAAGGAAGACCAGUGGCGAAGGCGGGUCUCUGGACAGUUCCUGACGCUGAGGCACGAAGGUCAGGGGAGCAAACGGG
rnacentral:rRNA from 1 species